CUCAGCGGAUAUGCGUUUGAGUAAGCUCCAGGAGUUGGUGAUGGACAGGGAAGCCUGGCUUGCUGCAGUCUAUGGGGUUGCAAAGAGCUGGACACGACUGAGCGACUGAACUGAACUGAAUCUUUGGCACUGGCACCUCGUGUGGGUGAAGUGCUGGGCAUCCCAGAAGCCCCCUUUAGCGACAGGAUCUGCUGACCCACAGCGAAUGUUCUGGAAAGCGCUGGUGGACCUGAGAUGGAAAGAGGGUAAAGAGAGAGAGAGGCAUGGGGGCCUCGGGGGUGGGGGGUGGUGGUGAAGGAAUCAUGAAACAUCUUACCCUGUGUCUGGACAAGAAACCAAGGUCUCACUUGUGUUUUCCCAAAUAGCUAGUUGGUAUUACAGCACCAGAAUGUUAUUCCCUUCUAAAAAUAGAUAUUGCAUGUUAUCAGAGCUGUUCUUUCCUAUUAUUUUUUUGGUUCUUUCUUGAUUUGAAAAUGUUAGUUUUAUUGGUGGCAUUGCAUUUUGUUUGGAGGGGGCAUAUCUAGCAAUGUGUUUGCUUUCUCUACACCCUUUCAUACCUUCUCCAAAUCCCCCAGGCCAUUUGGUACUUCUGAACCUUCAUUUACGCUGUUCCCCAUGCCUGGGACCCUGUCUCCUCCGUAGGGCUCCUCCCAAGCCCUGAGACCAAACUCCUACUCAUCCUUCAAGACUCAAGUGAGACAGCUCUUUCUCUGGGGAGCCGUCCCUGUCUCCUUUAUCUCCACUCCUCAACCCCCACCCCCCACCAACCCCUAACCGUGGACUCCUGCCCACUGAUCUCAUGAGCCCCAUGCAUGUAUUUCCCUGCUUCCCAUCCAUAUGUUAAUUACAGUCGAAGCGAUCGUGUC